rnacentral:rRNA from 1 species
AAUGAACGCUGGCGGCGUGCUUAACACAUGCAAGUCGUGCGCGAAGGUGGCUUCGGCUGCCGGAGAGCGGCGAACGGGUGAGUAACACGUGGGCAAUCUGCCUGGGGGUGUGGGAUAACCUGGGGAAACUCGGGCUAAUACCGCAUACGUUGCCGGGACCUUGGUCCUGUCAAGAAAGCUGGCCUCUGUUUACAAGCUAGCGCUCCCAGAGGAGCCCGCGGCUGAUAGCUAGUUGGUGAGGUAACGGCCCACCAAGGCGACGAUCAGUAGCGGCCUGAGAGGGUGAUCGGCCACACUGGAACUGAGACACGGUCCAGACUCCUACGGGAGGCAGCAGUGGGGAAUAUUGGACAAUGGGCGAAAGCCUGAUCCAGCAACGCCGCGUGGAGGAUGAAGGUCUUCGGGUUGUAAACCCCUGUCGGGUGGAACGAAUCCCCGAGGACGAAUACUCUCGGGGUUGACGGUACCGCCGGAGGAAGCUCCGGCUAACUACGUGCCAGCAGCCGCGGU